AGAGUUUGAUCCUGGCUCAGAAUCAACGCUGGCGGCGUGCCUCAUACAUGCAAGUCGAACGCGAAAGCGGCCUUCGGGCCGCGAGUAGAGUGGCAGACGGGUGAGUAACGCGUGGGUGACCUGCCUUCGAGUGGGGGAUAACCUUCCGAAAGGGGGGCUAAUACCGCAUAACAUCCCGCUCUUGGAUGAGUGGUGAUCAAAGCUGGGGAUCUUCGGACCUGGCGCUUGAAGAGGGACUCGCGUCCGAUUAGCUAGUUGGUGAGGUAGCGGCUCACCAAGGCUACGAUCGGUAGCCGGCCUGAGAGGGCGGACGGCCACACUGGGACUGAAACACGGCCCAGACCUUUACGGGGGGCAGCAGUCGGGAAUUGUUCGCAAUGGGCNCAAGCCUGACGACGCAACGCCGCGUGGAGGACGAAGAUCUUCGGGUCGUAAACUCCUGUCGAGCGGGAAGAACGACCCGCGAGCCAAUACCUCGCGGGUGUGACGGUACCGCUAAAGGAAGCCCCGGCUAACUCCGUGCCAGCAGCCGCGGUAAUACGGGGGGGGCUAGCGUUGUUCGGAUUUACUGG
rnacentral:rRNA from 1 species